GUGUCAGCAGCCGCGGUAAUACGGAGGAUCCAAGCGUUAUCCGGAAUCAUUGGGUUUAAAGGGUCCGUAGGCGGGAAAUUAAGUCAGUGGUGAAAGUUUGUGGCUCAACCAUAAAAUUGCCAUUGAUACUGGUUUUCUUGAGUUAUUGUGAAGUGGUUAGAAUGAGUAGUGUAGCGGUGAAAUGCAUAGAUAUUACUCAGAAUACCGAUUGCGAAGGCAGAUCACUAACAAUACACUGACGCUGAUGGACGAAAGCGUAGGUAGCGAACAGGAUUAGAUACCCUGGUAGUCUACGCCGUAAACGAUGGUUACUAGCUGUUCGAACUAAUUGCGGUUUGAGUGGCUAAGCGAAAGUGAUAAGUAACCCACCUGGGGAGUACGUUCGCAAGAAUGAA
rnacentral:rRNA from 1 species